rnacentral:rRNA from 1 species
GUGGGGAAUAUUGGACAAUGGGCGAAAGCCUGAUCCAGCCAUGCCGCGUGUGUGAAGAAGGUCUUCGGAUUGUAAAGCACUUUAAGUUGGGAGGAAGGGCAGUAAGUUAAUACCUUGCUGUUUUGACGUUACCGACAGAAUAAGCACCGGCUAACUCUGUGCCAGCAGCCGCGGUAAUACAGAGGGUGCGAGCGUUAAUCGGAAUUACUGGGCGUAAAGCGCGCGUAGGUGGUUUUGUAAGUUGGAGGUGAAAUCCCCGGGCUCAACCUGGGAACUGCCUCCAAAACUGCAUGACUAGAGUACGGUAGAGGGUAGUGGAAUUUCCUGUGUAGCGGUGAAAUGCGUAGAUAUAGGAAGGAACACCAGUGGCGAAGGCGACUACCUGGACUGAUACUGACACUGAGGUGCGAAAGCGUGGGGAGCAAACAGGAUUAGAAACCCGAGUAGUCC